GUCUACAUAAAAGAAAGUUCCAGAAGUUCGGUGCUCUCGGAAGCCUUGUAUUUCCAUUUCCAUCAGGUAAGGGUUUCUUUCGCCUCCGGUGCAAUGGCGGGAUGAACGGCGACGUUGCGGCGGCCAUUUCAAUCGGUAUGUUUUAGUUGAAUCCAAGAUUCGAUUCUGAUUUGCGAUUUCUUCAAACUAAUCGAUUGAGUUGAAUAUGUUACCAUGUGCUUGGACUGGUGCAUCGAAUUUGGACUCCCAUUCCUCGAGCUGUUCGCCCUUUUCAUACAAUCACCAGGGAUCUUCUUGGCAGCCGUGUCUUUGUAUUUACACCAAAAGGAGAGGCAUGAUUCUGAGUAAAAAUCUUCCCGAGGGUGCAACUGCCAUUGAUUAAGCAUAUAUGAUCCACUCUGACAUUGGGUACAAAAUGGUUGCUGCAGAGGUUAAAAUGGAAACACGCAGUGCCCGACUCAAUAACAUGAAAGUAUGUUUAUCUGUGGAUCUAAACAAUUGAUUUGAACACCCUCUUUCAUUCAAUUGAGAAGAAGUAUAUUUCAAUUUCAAGAAGUGAUUUGGAAUGGGGCUGUACAAGGUUGAAUUAAUUCGGAAGCCUUGAGCAAAAUGGUGGGAAGAUGCACGGAUGCUAAGAUGGAUCUUUAAAAGAAGUACUGGGAGAUUCUGAAUUUGGUAAACUUUAUAAAUGAAAGAGAGAUAUUUCAAUUUCAAGAAGUGAUUUGGAAUAGGGCUGUGCAAGGUGAAAUUAAUUCGUUCAGGAAGCCUUAAGCAAAAUGGUGGGAAGAUGCACGGAUGCUAAGAUGGAUCUUUAAAGAAAGUACUGGGAGAUUCUGAAUUUGGUAAACUUUAUAAAUGAAAGAGAGAAGAGGAAUAUGGAUAAUUCAUCUGGAUUUGCUGCUGGAGACACCAACUCAAAUGGACUGAACUUAAUGAAACCCACCAAAAAUCAGGAACUGCAAACUAGGAGAAGUGAUUGAGAGGGUUGCAUUUGGAAGGGUUUUCGACCAAGACAUGGGUUGCUGCAGCGUGUCUCAUUGGUAAAAUGUUGCAUUUCUAUUAUUUUCCUGAGAUGAGUAAGCAUUACAAUCUUUCGAGUUUCAUUGAUGAUGUUUCAUAUCUCUUUAGUUCAAAUAUUUGUUUGCUACAUGGCAUAUAUUUCCACCUAUAGGUCUUUGCCUUCCAUAUGUUGUCAAUUUGGUGUUUUUAGUUCGACCAUGUAACAUGGAAAGAUUCUGUUUCCCGAAGCUGAUGUGCUGUGACUCAUAAGAAAUGAAAGAUGUUAACAAUUAAAAAUUAUGAGUAGUCUGAUGCCGGAGCCUUGGUCAUCCCAUGCAUGAUACUUACGUCCUGUACUGAAAAUCAUACCAAUUCAGAUUGAGCCAAGAGCAGCAAAGCAGAGGGAAUGGAAGCUGCUUCCACCUCAGAGUGGUUUCUCUGAACUAUUUGACAUUGGACUGAGUCGAAAAUCAAUAUUCCUCUCGUCGGAGAAAGAUUGAAGAAGUUCGGAGUCAAUUGGAGUGAAGUUCCGCUGUUUGAGAUCGUAGGAGAAGGAAUCGUAACUGGAGGAGCCAUCUGCUGGGUUUGUCGCUCAAUCAAUCGGUGCCGUCGUCAAUCAACCGGAAUUUGAUGUCCAUCGAAGCUAUUGUUGUAAGCUGCUGCCAUCCGGCGACCUAGAGCAGUUGGCGGAGGAAUCUGCGGUCGGAGAUUGAGAGAAUUCCAUAGAUGUUCGUCGUUGAUUGUGGGUCAUCGUCGCUUGGCUGAUUUAUGAAUUGUUGAGGCCGUUUGUCGUCAAUUGGUUUCUCGUAUCUCCGAGUCUGCUCUGGCGAAUGUGGUCUACAUAAAAGAAAGUUCCAGAAGUUCGGUGCUCUCGGAAGCCUUGUAUUUCCAUUUCCAUCAGGUAAGGGUUUCUUUCGGCUCCGGUGCAAUGGCGGGAUGAACUGCGACGUUGCGGCGGCCAUUUCAAUCGGUAUGUUUUAGUUGAAUCCAAUAUUCUAUUCUGAUUUGCGAUUUCUUCAAACUAAUCGAUUGAGUUUAAUAUGUUACCAUGUGCUUGGACUGGUGCAUCGAAUUUGGACUCCCAUUCCUCGAGCUGUUCGCCCUUUUCAUACAAUCACCAGGGAUCUUCUUGGCAGCCGUGUCUUUGUAUUUACACCAAAAGGAGAGGCAAGAUUCUGAGUAAAAAUCUUCCCGAGGGUGCAACUGCCAUUGAUUAAGCAUAUAUGAUCCACUCUGAUAUUGGGUACAAAAUGGUUGCUGCAGAGGUUAAUGGAAACACUUAGUGCCCGACACAAUAUCAUGAAAAUAUUUCAAUUUCAAGAAGUGAUUUGGAAUAGGGCUGUGCAAGGUGAAAUUAAUUCGUUCAGGAAGCCUUAAGCAAAAUGGUGGGAAGAUGCACGGAUGCUAAGAUGGAUCUUUAAAGAAAGUACUGGGAGAUUCUGAAUUUGGUAAACUCUAUAAAUGAAAGAGAGGAUAUUUGUGAUGUCAUAAAGUUUCUACGCAAGAUUCAGGUAGGAGUAUUUAUGAAACAAGGAAAAAAGUGAUUCAAACAAGAUGAAUUCGAAAAGGAUUUCGACCAAAGGGGACGAAGAGCAAUAUGGAUAAUUCAUCUGGAUUUGCUGCUGGAGACACCAACUCAAAUGGACUGAACUUAAUGAAACCCACCAAAAAUCAGGAACUGCAAACUAGGAGAAGUGAUUGAAAAGGUUGUAUUUGGAUGGGAUUUCGACCAAGACAAGGUAUAUUUUUUAAUUCCAAGUCAGGGUUGCUGCUGCGUGUCUCAUUGGUAAAUGUUGCAUUUCCAUUAUUUUCCUGAGAUGAGUAAGCAUUACAAUCUUUUGAGUUUCAUUGAUGAUGUUUCAUAUCUCUUUAGUUUAAAUAUUUGUUUGCUACAUGGCAUAUAUUUCCACCUAUAGGCCUUUGCCUUCCAUAUGUGGUAAAUUUGGUGUUUUUAGUUCGAACAUGUAACAUGGAAAGAUUCUGUUUCCCAAAGCUGUUGUGCUUUGACUCAUAAGAAAUAAAAGGUCCUUUCGUUUUGUUGGA